GAGACCCCGGUCUUCUUUUUAUUGGUUGGUUCCUGCGACAGGUUUCACAUUUGCAAACACACCAGCCUCCAAGGUGUUAAACGGUCUGGUCGUAUCGGGACACGUCGUUUACCUUUAUCGAUCGAUCUACAAGAGCCAUUAACGCCUCAAAAGGAUACUCGUUGCCGUAUAAAGGCGAAUUUAGACUUUACACUUUGGACAUGCAUCGUGAACGAUUUAUUCGCGCGUGAAAGCUAUAAAGAUUGUUCCUAUCUGUGGUUCAUUCGGAAUGGCCAGCCAAAGAUAGAGUCAAUCUCUGCUUUCGAGUUGGAUUAUGGUGAGAGAAGCAAUAACCGACCUGUCGAAUGAAACUAAGCUAUCGUAUCAAGAUCUUCUUAAAUCAAUCCAUAGUAUCGGAAAAGAAGAAUGGAACAGGUUAUGGAGUUCGACCAGGAAAAUCCAACUUCACGUCACAGUUCAAAACUUUUAUCAUCCAAUACCUUUUGUCGAUUCUGUAUUUCAUCGAAAAACUCGCUUAAUUAUAGAUUCUAUAAUUUUACGAUUUAAUGAUAAUUCUAUGGUUUUACAAUGUUUUUACUAUUUUGUUUGCAAUAUAAACUACGAUUUGCUUGGUCCUCGUGUGGAUUAAACAGAACGACGAAGGAGACUUUAUCGAAAGGAAUUUCGAACGAGCUCGCAGACUACAAGAUAAAUGGCUCGCUUUAAUAACGAGAACGAUGGACGACGUACGAAGAUCGUACGAUGUGGGAUCACGUAUCGACGAAAACAUAAAGCAUCACAGGGGAUUCCUGGCACGCUCGGUUUAAGUUAGAACCGUAAUCCGAACGCCCCUUUCUUCCUUUAUUCCAUGAACUCCGCCCCGUGAAAUUUCGUCGAUAAAGACGAAACACACGGCAGAAGCAGCGUGGCAGACAGAUUGGCUGACUUUACGCGAUCGCUCGUUAACUCGAAGUAAUCGAAAAUUCUUUCAUCCGGAAUGGGAGAAAAAAGAAUGCGCCUCGACGUAUGGAAGUAUUCUUUAGAGUCAGGUAUUUUGCCCUUUCUCCAGUAUCGAACCAUCGUAAAUCAUCCGUCGAUGUUUCCAAACCGCAGCUCGUUCUUUGACUAAGCAACUUUGAAGAGAGCCUGUAUGUACCGAUAUAUCGAUCUUCGUCUUUUUCAUCUUUAUGAAUGACACCAGUGUGCUCGUUCCUAUUUGCCAGACUAUCCACGCUAUUGCUUAGGUUUCGUAUUUUCCCGUAAUACUUUCCUCCUUUUACGUGUAAUUCUUCGUAACUCGUUACUACUCGCAAUGACAUCUACGUUUUGGACCUCGUCUUUCAAGGGAAAUUACUUAAUUAAUGUAUCCUGUACCUGCGUACUUCUAUCGAAAGCUUCGCAGGAACCGGAACGUAUUGAACAAAAGCUAAAGAUGCUGGAACCUUUCCUUUUGGAAUUUUCUUUCUACAGGAAGAUAGUAAGUACCGCUUGUAAUUACCAAUUCGUCAUAAAUCAGUGCACUUUGUUCAAAUUCAAAUAAAACUAUUAUAACAAAU